UACGGGGGGGCGAAGCGUUGUUCGGUAAUUACUGGGCGUAAAGGGCGCGUAGGCGGCCCGCUAAGUCGAACGUGAAAUCCCCGAGCUCAACUCGGGAACUGCGUCCGAUACUGGCGGGCUUGAAUCCGGGAGAGGGAUGCGGAAUUCCAGGUGUAGCGGUGAAAUGCGUAGAGAUCGGGAGGAAGGCCGGUGGCGAAGGCGGCGCUCUGGAACGUUUCUGACGCUGAGGCUCGAAAGCGUGGGGAGCAAACAGGG
rnacentral:rRNA from 1 species